CAACAGGGAUUGCCUUAGUAACUGCGAGUGAAGCGGCAAAAGCUCAAAUUUGAAAUCGACGUCUCCACGAGGUGUCGAGUUGUAAUUUGGAGGGACAACUUCGGGCUGAACCACAUCGUAAGUUCCUUGGAACAGGACGUCAUAGAGGGUGAGAAUCCCGUGUCUUGAUGUCGGGUCAAACCCGUGUGAAGUGUCUCCGACGAGUCGAGUUGUUUGGGAAUGCAGCUCAAAAUGGGUGGUAAAUUUCAUCUAAAGCUAAAUAUUGGCGAGAGACCGAUAGCGCACAAGUAGAGUGAUCGAAAGAUGAAAAGCACUUUGAAAAGAGAGUCAAAAAGUACGUGAAAUUGUUGAAAGGGAAGCGCUUGCGACCAGACUCGAUCUUUGGGGAUCAGCCGGGCUUCGGUCCGGUGCCCUCCCCAUUGGUUGGGCCAGCAUCGGUUCCGGCGGUGGGAUAAAAGGAGGAGGAAUGUGGCUCCCUUUGGGGAGUGUUAUAGCCACCUUCACAAUGCUGCCAGUUGGGACCGAGGACCGCGCUUCGGCUAGGAUGCUGGUGUAAUGGUCUUAAGCGACCCGUCUUGAAACACGGACCAAGGAGUCUAACAUCUAUGCGAGUGUUCGGGUGGAAAACCCUUGCGCGUAAUUAAAGUGAACGGAGGUGUGAACCCCUUGCGGGGUGCAACAUCGACCGGUCCUGAUGUCUUCGGAGGGAUCUGAGUAAGAGCAUAGCUGUUGGGACCCGAAAGAUGGUGAACUAUGCCUGAAUAGGGUGAAGCCAGAGGAAACUCUGGUGGAGGCUCGCAGCGGUUCUGACGUGCAAAUCGAUCGUCAAAUUUGGGUAUAGGGGCGAAAGACUAAUCGAACCAUCUAGUAGCUGGUUCCUGCCGAAGU
rnacentral:rRNA from 1 species